UUGAAUCACUUAAUGUAUGUACAGAAUAAAUAAUUUCUGCCUUUUAAAUGAUUAUUAAGAUCGUUAUUAUUAUUUUAUUAUCAUUUUACAUUUUUAUCAUGAAACCUUCUGGUAUAAAUAUUAUCAACAACAAUAAAACUAAACACAUUGCGCUGCCUUACCACGCUGAAAUUUUCCUAUUGGUUAUUUAACCUUAUUUGCUUUGAUCAUGAUUGGUUUAUCUGGCUGUCAUUCAACUGGCCAAUGAAACUGUGUGCGCCAUUUUAAGUUUGAAAAUAUGACCAUUAUACUGAUCGUCUUUCUGAGUGAGGUCGCUGUGAGUGAGAGAGCUGCUGCGCAAUAAAACUGCUAGGUCAGUCCCGAAUUAUUGUAUAAUUUUUGCCUAUUAUGACCGUGUGUAAUUGCUGUUAACGCGAAGGUCUGGAUAUUUUGGAUUCCUUUUCACUUAAUUGUUGAGAUUUUAGAAUGUUAAGAAAUGUGUACAUAUGUUGGUCAGAAAUUUGGAAAUGGUUAGAUUUUAGUGUUUGUCAGUGUUAUCCCUUACGGAAAGGUAAUUCACAUAUAUGUGAAGCACUGUUAAAUAUAUUGAAAUAUAUUUAGAAAAUAUAUUUUUAAAAAUACAUAUGUUGCGUGUGUGUGUGUUUACAUAGGCUAUUUCUGAAAUUAUAUUCAUGCCUCAUGAUUUUUAAUCAACGUGUUUUUAAAAUGGUAAAAAACAUUUACCAUUAAAGCUAUUAUUAUAUUAUAGAUCCUAUAUUCUCAUUCAAUUUAGGUCUACUAUCCACUUAAACAAUAUGUCAUCAAGUUUCAGGACAAGUUUCUAAUUUUAUGUACCGGUACUAUUUAUGUAAACGCUGCGUAACUUUCAUGUGUUUGAUGGGAGUGCGCGUUGAACAUUCGAGGCUCAUUUAAACUGGAGUGGAGGGAGUUUCUAUGGAAACGGGGCGGCAACUCAGCUGACAAAUAGCAAAAAAAUUCCGUCUCUCACUGUUGUUUUUACUGCUUUCAGAAAUGGUUCAGCGUCAUCGGAAAAAGUCCGUUAGCAUCACAAGCGUGAGCUAACCAGAGGCUAACUAUAAGAGGAGUGUCAGAAAAAUCCCUCUAAUGCUGCUGAGAGAGAGAUUGGAAACAGUCUUCCAUGCUGAUGGCUGUGCAGCAGAGUUGGAGGGGACCUCUUGUCGAAGAACAUCUCCAAGACACUAUGAGCAUCUGACUAAUCGUCUGCCUCCCAGUUCCGUGUGCAUACAGUGGAUCUCCUCGUCUUGUCUUCCCUGCAAACCUGUGGACAUCAAGAUAGUUACUAUCAUCACCACCUCUCUUCAGCACUCCAUUCAGUUCUCUUCUACUCAC